GAGGUAGCGGCUCACUAAGGCGACGAUCGUAGCCGGCCUGAGAGGGCGGACGGCCACACUGGGACUGAGACACGGUCCAGACCUUUACGGGGGGCAGCAGUCGGGAAUUGUUCGCAAUGGGCGCAAGCCUGACGACGCAACGCCGCGUGGAGGACGAAGAUCUUCGGGUCGUAAACUCCUGUCGAGCGGGAAGAACGACCCGCGAGCCAAUACCUCGCGGGUGUGACGGUACCGCUAAAGGAAGCCCCGGCUAACUCCGUGCCAGCAGCCGCGGUAAUACGGGGGGGGCUAGCGUUGUUCGGAUUUACUGGGCGUAAAGGGCUCGUAGGCGGCCGCUUGUGUCGGUUGUGAAAUCCCUCGGCUCAACCGGGGAACUGCGACCGAAACUGAGCGGCUCGAAGCCGGGAGAGGGAUGCGGAAUUUCAGGUGUAGCGGUGAAAUGCGUAGAUAUCUGAAGGAACACCCGUGGCGAAGGCGGCAUCCUGGACCGGUCUUGACGCUGAGGAGCGAAAGCUAGGGUAGCAAACGGGAUUAGAUACCCUGGUAGUCA
rnacentral:rRNA from 1 species